CCCCUUCUAGCUCAGUCGGUAGAGCAUGAGACUCUUAAUCUCAAGGUUUUUGGUUCGUGCCCCACUUUGGGCG